rnacentral:rRNA from 1 species
UCUGAAUAGGGCGUUUAGUAUUUGGUCGUAGACCCGAAACCAGGUGAUCUACCCUUGGUCAGGUUGAAGUUCAGGUAACACUGAAUGGAGGACCGAACCGACUUACGUUGAAAAGUGAGCGGAUGAACUGAGGGUAGCGGAGAAAUUCCAAUCGAACCUGGAGAUAGCUGGUUCUCUCCGAAAUAGCUUUAGGGCUAGCCUCAAGUGAUGAUUAUUGGAGGUAGAGCACUGUUUGGACGAGGGGCCCCUCUCGGGUUACCGAAUUCAGACAAACUCCG